CAGCCCGGUAAUUCCAGCUCCAAUAGCGUAUAUUAAAGUUGCUGCAGUUAAAAAGCUCGUAGUUGAAUUUCGGGGUCAAUAUGUUGGUCGUGCCUUGGUACGUACUAGCUUAUUGAUUUCUCCUUUCUGACGAACCAUGAUGUCAUUAAUUUGGUGUCAUGGGGAAUCAGGACUGUUACUUUGAAAAAAUUAGAGUGUUUAAAGCAGGCUCGCGCUUGAAUACAUUAGCAUGGAAUAAUGAAAUAGGACAUUUGAUUCUAUUUUGUUGGUUUCUAGGAUCGAUGUAAUGAUUAAUAGGGAUAGUUGGGGGCAUUAGUAUUCAAUUGUCAGAGGUGAAAUUCUUGGAUUUAUUGAAGACUAACUACUGCGAAAGCAUUUGCCAAGGAUGUUUUCAUUAAUCAAGAACGAAAGUUAGGGGAUCGAAGACGAUCAGAUACCGUCGUAGUCUUAACCAUAAACUAUGCCGACUAGGGAUCGGAUGAUGUUAAUUUUUUAAUGACUCAUUCGGCGCCUUACG
rnacentral:rRNA from 1 species